AACAUCGAAUGUAAACAUCUCAGGAUGUCUUUGCUGCAAGUAUCAACGAUUAUUUAAGAUUAUCAUUGCAAUCGCGCGCGAAGCAAUGAUUUAAUCGAAUAUUUUCAGUAUCGCUGAAAUAAAAAUAUCGCGAAGUAGAAGCAGUGUUUGUUCGUUCGGGUUUCGCGAUUUAAACAAUAAGUGUAUUUUCAUCGAUUGUGUGCAAUGCAAUCGUUAGAGUCAGUGUUUGUUCACGAAAAGUGUUUUGCUUUUUUAACAGUCACAUAGACUGUAUUUAUAAAAGACAGUAGAGUUUCGCGAAGUAAAUUCAGUGACCGUUCGUUUAAAAAUAUUUAUCGCGUAAUAGAAUCAGUGCAUCAUUGAAGAGGAUCUCAAUCAACUUCGAUGUUGACCUACUUAAUUUUAAAGAAUCAUCCAUCUUCAAUUUCGACUUCAACUGUGAACGAGUGUUUUGGAGCCAU